AGAAAAGAAGAUCACUCAGCUGCAUCUCGAGAAUCAGCAGAACAGCCAACUGGGGCAUCAAAAUAAAAAAAAAAUCAAUCAAAAAAAAAGAAAUCAAUCAAAAUCAAAAGAAAUCAAAAGAAAUCAAAAGAAAUCAAAAGAAAGAAAAAGAAAGAAAAAAAAAACAAAAGAAAGAUAGCACCCUCAAAGUCCCAAGUUGGCUGAUGCUGAAUUC
rnacentral:lncRNA from 1 species